CAGUCGCCGCGGUAAUACAGAGUGUGCAAGCGUUAAUCGGAUUUACUGGGCGUAAAGGGCGCGUAGGUGGUUAUGUAAGUGAGAUGUGAAAUCCCCGGGCUCAACCUGGGAACUGCAUCUUAUACUGCGUAGCUGGAGUGCAGUAGAGGGUAGUGGAAUUUCCGGUGUAGCGGUGAAAUGCGUAGAUAUCGGAAGGAACACCAGUGGCGAAGGCGGCUACCUGGACUGACACUGACACUGAGGCGCGAAAGCGUGGGGAGCAAACAGGAUUAGAUACCCCCGUAGUCCCUGUCUCUUAUAC
rnacentral:rRNA from 1 species